GAUGAAGAACGUAGCGAAAUGCGAUACGUAAUGUGAAUUGCAGAAUUCAGUGAAUCAUCGAGUCUUUGAACGCACAUUGCGCCCUCUGGUAUUCCGGGGGGCAUGCCUGUCCGAGCGUCAUUGCUGCCCUCAAGCACGGCUUGUGUGUUGGGCCCCCCCGUCCCGGUUCUCCAGCCGGGACGGGCCCGAAAGGCAGCGGCGGCACCGUGUCCGGUCCUCGAGUGUAUGGGGCUCUGUCACCCACUCGUGUAGGCCCGGCCGGCGGCCAGCCUCUUUCAACCAAAACUUCUUUAACCAGGUUGACCUCGGAUCAGGUAGGGAUACCCGCUGAACUUAAGCAUAUCAAUAAGCGGGAGGA
rnacentral:misc_RNA from 1 species